GUAUAUGGACCACAUCUUCCUUAUCCAUUCCUCUGCUGAGAUAAAGAGUUGGAUGCUCAACUGACUGAGUCACCCAGGUUCUCUGCUGAAUGACUCUUAAAAUCGAACAUGAGGAUAAAUUGGUGAUCCCUUUAUGCAAAUUUAAUAACUGGAAGGUAUUUUAACAGCCAUCUAGUAAAAUUCUAGUUGGUUCUAGGAC